UAAACCAAGCUGUGAACAUACUUACCAGGUUGUACCUCAAGAGAAAUAUAAAAUUUCACUUUAUCUACUAUAGGAAAUGCAAUAAUGAUUUAAAAACAUAAGGAAAAGAUAAGCAAAUUAAGUGUCAGCCACACCCCCAAUAGUCGAUCCAAUAUUAACUCUCCAUAUUGUGUAAUAAUCAAAUAUCAGAAAAUUUUGAAUCUGAAUAAUAUCAAACAAUGAUCCAAGUUAGGAAUCCAAAAAGUGAUUGAAGUAGUAAAUCAACUUACCACAACCUUCCUGGGAUUAUUUGA
rnacentral:misc_RNA from 1 species